GUGAUGUGCAUCUGCAGCUGGCUUGUAAAGCUCUUCAAUAAUUUAUUUGGUUACCGCCCACCCCCGCGUCCCUCCCACACAUAUAAGCCAUUCAGAGUUUACCACUUAAAGGUAAACUUGAAUUUCUUCUCAUCUUAAAAUUGCAUAAAUUAUAUUAAAUUCUCAAUAAAUUUAUUUACAUUUAGUGGGGGUGGGGCGCGAUGGAAAAACACUAUAUUAAAUAACGACAUCGGUUUUUAACACCCAUCCUAAUAGAAACAUUAAAAUAGAAUGGGGUAGGGAGGAGGGGUGGAGGCGGAGAAGGGAUGUACGUCUCAGGAUACAGGAAAUACGGUAAGAGCGAAACAGGAGGAAGCCAGCUCUGUGCCUGGAGGGGACUCGCCGCCAUCUCAGGUCUCUUGGCUUUGCCAGGGCCCACCGGAGAAAACUGACGACCCGUUUCUGUAAUCCUUAUGGGAGACCAACCUUGUGCCUCCGGGAGAUCCACUCUCCCACCUGGAAACGCACGGGAAGCCAAGCCUCCAAAAAAGCGCUGCCUCCUCGCUCCGCGUUGGGAUUAUCCGGAAGGAACUCCCAACGGAGGUAGUACCACUCUACCCUCCGCACCUCCUCCUGCAUCAGCCGGCCUGAAGUCGCACCCUCCUCCUCCGGAGAAGUAGAGAAAUAAAUUUCUCCCACCCUAAACCAGUCUUUGAGCGAUUGCAGUAUGACUCCAUUUCCCUGGUGCAUUCAUAUAAUAGUUCACCUGGUGAAAACAAUGAAGAUUAUUUACAAUGCUACCCUGCUUUUUCUGGUAUCCUGAACCUGGAAGUUGUGCUUUUUAAGUCUUAUGAUGUAAUCAGCGUGAUUUCACUUCCUGAAUUUCGAUGAAUUCUAAGACAUGGGCAAGAUUGUGUUGUAAGACCUCUGAGAUUUAAGGCCAUGCCCUGGAUCAUGGUGAACUUACCAAAGCAUACAAUGCCUGUGAGAUGGUCCUGCAGCAGCCAACCAGUGCACUCUUUUGGUGACAUCCUGUUCUUGUUGUAUAACUUUAUAUUCCUAUAAAUCCAUUAAGGCCCCAAUAAAGUUUGUCUCUAA